UAGUACCACGUGUAAGUCCAUGUCACAUGUAAAUGGCCGUGACAAACCUGUGUAUCUUCCACAAAUGUAAAUACCAACGACGUUGCAACAGAGCUGUCGACCAAGGCCUUCCAAUUCAGAAAUUGUAGGUGGCACAGAAAAAUGGAGAGGUUUUAAUUAGAAAUAUAAAGUAAUUACAGUGUCAGAAAGUGGGAAGCAGAAGGACUGUGGGAUCCACUUCAGGAUGCUGUAGCGUUCAGAAGCAAGCUGGCAAGCCAGAAGAGUGAUUUAAGAGCUACACUCAUGUAGCGUGUCCUUGCCUGAUAAAUAUAAUGACAGCACACGUAAAGGACGACAUUUUUCCAGGCUUCUGAACAGAUGCAAGCACCUUUUCAUGUAACUCGGCGUAAGUCUUGCUGCGCAUGCGCAAGAGUGAGCAUGGGCUUCUUUUGCUUUGGAACGAAGACACAAACUUCAGCAGAUCUUUUAAAUUAAGCUUCUCUGCUUUUUCCAAUCCACGUCUUGGUGAGUCUUCUGUGCAUGGAGGAGGUUACCAACGUGGUUGAUACAUCACGUGCUGUCCUGUAAAUGUAAACGCACAGUGAAAUGUCUAUAGAAGCCAUUUGGCUUCUCCGGCUGCCGCCUUGUUUUACGCAUGGGUCUCCCUCCUGCUUCCAAUUUGGCAGUGAAUGUCAGAAGAUGAAAGGGCCUGAGUCUCCUAGCAACAGGCGGCCAUGUCAACUAAAAAUAAGUCAGUUAUGCACUACUCUUACUUAUCCCUGCCAACGCUUGACAGCGGAGCACACUACAUGACAUCCGUGUCCUUCCGCCUGAUCCCGUGGCUGGUUGGGAGUUUUGACCUCAGGCUGCAUCCAGCAUGGGUCUACAGAGCUGCUCUUUAUUGACUUUCCAUUGUGGUUUGAACCUAGAACACCCUCCAUAUGUUGAUUUAUUUGAACACCUGGUCCACAGCUGGUGGUUCUGUUUGAGAAGGUCUUAUGUCCUUGUUGGUGAAGACGAGCCAACAGGGCUUUGUGAGUUGUGGUCUGCUCUUCUGUGGUCCUGCUUUCUGUUUCCCGGUCUGGAGAGACACAACAGCCAGAGAGUCCAGUACGACAGAGCCUCCAUACAAUGCCAUCCUUGAAAUGAUGCCAUACACAAACCACAGUCCAGACACAUUUCUCCUCUCUCAAGUUGAUGGUAUCAGGUACUUAGUGUGAAGACAAGAGUGACUGAUUCUGAACAAUGGUACCAAGAGGUGAGGAUCCUUCUGUGAUAAACCUGACCCUGUAGCUCUUAGGUCUUCAGAACUGAUUUCUGGAAGGACUGUGGAAGAAUUUGAAGCUGAAGACUAGAGGAGCCCAAGAAUGUUGUAAAAGAGCCUAAUGAGCCAAUCUGGUGGAACUUGGAAGGCCAGAACACAGAUGGAAAUGUGGAUAAGAUAUUUCUUCUCUUCAGCUGAGCAGGCUGCUGAAACCUGUUCUAACGGGGCUUGGAUAGGUCUCAAAUUUGUUUUCAUCCACGUCGCUGACUUUGCCAGCAUGCAGAAUACAAGGAUGACAUUCUUCUGAAGAUUUGCAUAGAGGUUCAGGGGCUGGCGGGAGCCUAUGAGACCUGGCAGUGUGUGACAAGGCCAGACUCCCUGCCAGAAUGCCCAGAGAGGCCAGCAUGCAUACCUAAACUGCAGUGGAGACACGAAGACACCAGGAAUACGAGGCAUCUGCCGUACAGGUGAGAAGUCUGCAUGAGGGAGACCUCAUGUGUGCUAAAGACGACAAAACCUAGAAGCCUGCUGCAGCCAAGGUCAUGCGGAGGCAUUGGACACCUGCAGCUGGAGUUACAGGCAAUUGUGAGCUGCCCAACAUGUAUGCUGAGAACUAAGUUCAUGUCCUUUGCAAAAGCAGUAAGUACUUGUAACAACAGAGCCAUCUCUCCAGCCCUGCAAGGGGCUUAUAGUGGAGUGAAAUAGCUGUGCAUCCAGAUCAAGACCUCACCAAUAUUAUCAGGUAAGACUGUGCAAACAGGAGAGAAACGCAGAGGCGUUUACUAAUAUCGGAAGAUCACAAACAGUAAGCAGAUGGGAGAGAGACCAGCCUGAGACAGCGACCAACACAAUGUGUGUGGCUGUGUGUGGUGAUGGUGACCACCCUGUUCUGCAGCAGAGUCACCCCAGGCUGCUCUGUGGCUUCUCUUUCCAUUUCCAAUUUUGAGCCUGCAGUGCUGGAGAUAUUUCAAGCAACCAAGUUACUCUCAAAGGGAAAAAACAGGCAAUGGAGAGACGGGCUGGGUCGGGAUGUUAAGAAACAGUCACCACAGCGGGCGAUGGCUUGACGUGAACUUUUCUAAGUCUGUCUCUCUUCUUGUCUUUGUUCACCUUUCUCUCUGUCUCUGAAGCUGAAGAAAGACUUCAAAUACUGGGCAAAGUCUGAGUGUCAUGGAACAAGAAGUCCCAGAGCUGUUGGAUCUUCAUUCCAUUGGCUCUGAAAUACAACAUGGAUCUGCAAGCCGGACCUGUAGGAGUCACAUGUUAGCCGAGUCAAAAUCGAAGAUGAGACUGGUUUGAACAUCUGAGAAAAUGCACUUAAGUCACAAUCAACUCGCUCAUGUGAGCACCAUACAGCUUUAUUGUGGAUUAAAAGCCCCAUAUUAUUGCAGCACCCUUGUAUGCUAAUAAUAAAGUCAUUUUUUUUAUUCCCAAA